AUGGAACUGGAUGGUGUGGAAAGAGCACGACACGGAGAGCCUAGGCCUUGCUGUGUGAUCUCAGUUUGUGGAUUUAUGAUUAUCUCAUCCAUCCGCUGUCUGGUGCUCAGCAUGGAGCGUCUCUCCCGCUGUUUACGGGAGCAUGCUUCUGGGAGAAGUUCCCCACAGGGAGGGGCGCCGUGGGAGGCAUCUGCAUGGAAGGUCUCCCAAACCCAUUUCUUCGGCCCGGCUCCUGGAGUCUGUGCGGUUGGGCAGCUUUCUGCAGUCUCUCAAGGGCUGCUUUGCCCAGGAACGGAGGAUGGAGCCAGUGACCUUUCAGCUCCACUCAUCUUGGUUUCUGUGGAAAUGGGUACCAAGAGGGAGCCCAGAACCAGCCUAUUGCAGCGGGAAGGGCUCUGAGAGAGUGUCACAGCUGGCACCACCCUGCCCUCCUCUGUUAGGGGGACUGAGGCUAGAGACAGGAGGUACUGGCCUGGGGUAAUGAAGCAGCCAGUCACAGGGCCUAGAACCCCCUUCUCCCAUGCCCAGCGAAGUCAUGCGCCCUUGAGCCUCUCCCUUUUCCGCGAGCUGACCCAUGCUUCCUGCCCCUCCCCUGAACAGAGAGACUGGCACUUGGUUGGGGGUGGUCCAGGUGCAUUUUGCAUGGAGGCAAGGAGUGAGCCCUCAGGCCCCCUCCCCCCAUGAGGGUUGGGGACCAGAGCACCCUGACUGCUUUUCUUGUUGGCAGGGGACAGAUGGGGAUAAAUCCCCAAAAGAAGGAUUUGCAAGCAUGGUUGGGGACCCACCCCCCCAACCUGCCCCGGAACAUAAACAAAACCCUUUCUUGGCCUCAGGUUCUCCUCAGCAGGUGGCAUCCUACUUGUCCAGAAGUGAGUGUGGCUUAGGUUCACCUCACCUGGAAGAGACAGUGGAGCUAGGACCAGGGCUAGGAAGCAGUGAGGCUGGAGCAGGAGGCAGGGGCUGAGCUCUGGAGGACCACUGCUGAUGUCAUCUGCAGCCUCUGAAGGGUCUGAAGCCAGGAAUGACCUGACUGCUUAGGUGAGAUGCUUGGCCUCUAGGGGCUUCCGUUCAUUCUCUUGUGAUAUAAGGGAGAGUGCUCUGGUUGGAUGGCAGAGGCAUGUCUGCCCAGACAGGGCGGGCUCAGCUGGGUUUCCUCUGAUGCCAGACAGGGCUAUGGAGUGGGAUGUAACUGUUGGCCUCUUCCCCUCUGUCCACUUGGGGUCUCAGUUUCUCCUCCACCCAAAGCUGGGCUGGGCCCCAGGCCCCAGGUUGGCCUCAGCCUGCACUAAUGAGAUGCUAAUGCUCAAGACCAGAUUGGCUGUGGCAUCAAAGUGUGUGGGGACCCUCCUGACAGCUUGAGAAGCCUCCAGCCACUCUGGGCAGCUUGAGCUCUAGGCCGGGAUGUUUUUCCAGCAACUGUACCUGUCACUUCUCAUUAUAGCUGGUGCCCACUGUACCUGCCAUGGGGCCGUGGGGCAUAACUGGCCCUGUUCUUCCCCAGAGUCCCAGGGAGGCUGAGGCCAGAACUGAUGGGAUUCCUGGGGCCUCCGGAAGGUUCCUUGGUGCCAGGAUCAGGUCUCGGCCAUUCCAGAUCCCCUUGGCUGUGGCUCAAGUGCGAGAUCUCACAAAGAUCUCACAUGCUCAGAACGACAUGAGGACUUUUCUCUGUUUUGACUUCUCUGACCCGGGCCUGUGACAGUUUGCAUUCAGACAAAUCUCAACAAUGACACAAGCCUUCUCCCCUGGAUGCUUAGAAUUUAAGAACUUUAGAAGGUCAGAACUGAGCAGUCCUUAAUGAUUAGCAAGUGCAGGGGAUUUUAUUUUUAGCAUUUGUUUUUGGUUUGCCUUAAAAAUUGUCCAAAUAAUGCAUCUACAAAUAAAAAAAAAUUUUUUUAAAUAUCA
rnacentral:lncRNA from 12 species